GUGAAUUAAACAUGCUUGGUGUCUUCGCUUCGGCAAGGCCCUUGCUUAAAUCACAUCCUAACACCUGUGAACUGUAAGACGUAUGAUGAGGUCUUUGGCCCAAGUCAUCGUCUGCCCAUUUUUAACAAACAAUUAAUGUAACAAACGUAGUCUUAUUAUAACCUAAUA
rnacentral:misc_RNA from 1 species